rnacentral:rRNA from 1 species
AUGCAUCGCAUCAUUAACGCCCACCAAGGCCCCGGCCGCCGCUUCUGCACUACGGAGCUGUUGCACACCAUAAGCGACAUAGAUGCCGUGGAGGCAUGUCUCCUGUCCACCGCUCUGGCUAGGCUCGAGGAGCUUAAGCUUAACAGCUGGAGAGGGGAGCCGCUGCCGGAAUUAGUCUUCCGCUUCUCAGACACCCUCCGUGUUUUCUGCAUUGAAAAGUGCAGCCUCCCGGAUGCCACCGUCCAAAGAUUUCAUUUUCCCCGGCUUCAGCGGCUCGAAAUUGUUCGUAGCAGCACCUCGGAGUGCACACUCCACAGCAUGAUUGCCGGCUGCUCUUCUCUGGAGUGCUUGCUAAUUUCUCGGUGCAGUGGACCUCGUUGCCUCCGGAUCAAUUCACUUGUCCUCAGAAGCGUUACAGAUUUGCGUGUGUCAGUGCUCUUCGCGCCUAAGUUGGAGACCUUAGGCUGUACCAACUCCACCAGGCUCGUCUUUGGUUCUACAGAUAUUAAGGGAUCGCGCACAAUCAAGUGUUUGGCCCUCAGUAUGCCCACUCUUAGUUUGGAUAUGGUUAUUGGACUGAUAAGAAGGUUUCCGUGCUUGAAGAAGUUGUACAUUCAGCGCAACACCUCAAGGAAGAACAAUAAUGCAUGGCGUCGUAAAUACCGCGAUCUGCUCAAAAGUCUUGACAUCCGUCUGAAAAUUAUGACCGACGAUGAGGACUUCUUGGCAAAACAGCCUCGCAAGCUUCAGCUGGAGAAGAGGGCUUCAAGUGAUAAAAUUAUUUGCAUGCGUGGCGCCUGGGUUACUGCAGGAGAGAUGAUGCGGCAUGGAGGAAGCAUGGACAGACAGCUGCACCCACAAGGUUCAGACUUCAGAGUUCAGACAUCACAACCGAGGGAACCUGCUACCUGCUCCCAUUUAAACUUCUCGGUUCAGCAAUUUCUCACAAGUCACAACCAUGUGAAAGUUGCCAAUCGUCGCCUCCAUCGUAUCUCCUUCCACCACUUGUAUAAUCUCCCUCCUCCUCCCUCCCUCCCCACACCAAACAACAUGCCAGAAGUCCACCCCCAAACCGCCACCGCCCUAGAGGGAGUCUUCCUCCUCCAUGCCCUGGAACUUCAGCGGCUUCGCCCAUACCUCCUUCCUCAAUUUCGAGAGCUGAGUUUUAGGACCACGGCUCGGCCGCACCUACGGCCUUCUCAGGCUAGACUUCCAAUGUGGCACGCCUUCCAAUAA